UUCCGGUUGAUCCCGCCGGACCUGACUGCUAUCGGAUUGAUACUAAGCCAUGCGAGUCUUUGUAGUAAUACAAGGCAGACGGCUCAGUAACACGUAGUCAACCUACCCUAUGGACGAGAAUAAUCUCGGGAAACUGAGCAUAAUUCUUGAUAGAUCAUAAUGCCUGGAAUGGUUUAUGGUUAAAAUGAUUCGUCGCCAUAGGAUGGGACUGCGGCCUAUCAGCUUGUUGGUGAGGUAAUGGCCCACCAAGGCGAUUACAGGUACGGGCUCUGAGAGGAGAAGCCCGGAGAUGGGUACUGAGACACGGACCCAGGCCCUAUGGGGCGCAGCAGGCGAGAAAACUUUGCAAUGUGCGAAAGCACGACAAGGUUAAUCCGAGUGAUUUCUGCUAAAGAAAUCUUUUGCCAGUCGUAAAACCGCUGGUGAAUAAGGGGUGGGCAAGUUCUGGUGCCAGCAGCCGCCGGUAAU
rnacentral:rRNA from 1 species